UGGGGAAUUUUGGACAAUGGACGCAAGUCUGAUCCAGCCAUGCCGCGUGCGGGAAGAAGGCCUUCGGGUUGUAAACCGCUUUUGUCAGGGAAGAAAAGCCUUGGGUUAAUACCCUGGGGUGAUGACGGUACCCGAAGAAUAAGCACCGGCUAACUACGUGCCAGCAGCCGCGGUAAUACGUAGGGUGCGAGCGUUAAUCGGAAUUACUGGGCGUAAAGCGUGCGCAGGCGGUUAUAUAAGACAGAUGUGAAAUCCCCGGGCUCAACCUGGGAACUGCAUUUGUGACUGUAUAGCUAGAGUACGGCAGAGGGGGAUGGAAUUCCGCGUGUAGCAGUGAAAUGCGUAGAUAUGCGGAGGAACACCGAUGGCGAAGGCAAUCCCCUGGGCCUGUACUGACGCUCAUGCACGAAAGCGUGGGGAGCAAACA
rnacentral:rRNA from 1 species